rnacentral:rRNA from 1 species
UCCUACGGGAGGCAGCAGUGAGGAAUAUUGCGCAAUGGGCGAAAGCCUGACGCAGCAACGCCGUGUGGGCGAUGAAGGCCUUCGGGUUGUAAAGCCCUUUUCUGGGGGAAGAGGAAGGACGGUACCCCAGGAAUAAGUCUCGGCUAACUACGUGCCAGCAGCCGCGGUAAAACGUAGGAGGCAAGCGUUAUCCGGAUUUACUGGGCGUAAAGCGCGCGCAGGCGGUUUCGUAAGUCGGACGUGAAAGCCUCUGGCUCAACUGGAGGAGGUCGUUCGAUACUGCGGGACUUGAGGUCGGGAGAGGGAAGUGGAAUUCCCGGGGUAGUGGUGAAAUGC